rnacentral:rRNA from 1 species
UAAUGUUUGAUGUUCUAACGUUGACCCGUAAUCCGGGUUGCGGACAGUGUCUGGUGGGUAGUUUGACUGGGGCGGUCUCCUCCUAAAGAGUAACGGAGGAGCACGAAGGUUGGCUAAUCCUGGUCGGACAUCAGGAGGUUAGUGCAAUGGCAUAAGCCAGCUUGACUGCGAGCGUGACGGCGCGAGCAGGUGCGAAAGCAGGUCAUAGUGAUCCGGUGGUUCUGAAUGGAAGGGCCAUCGCUCAACGGAUAAAAGGUACUCCGGGGAUAACAGGCUGAUACCGCCCAAGAGUUCAUAUCGACGGCGGUGUUUGGCACCUCGAUGUCGGCUCAUCACAUCCUGGGGCUGAAGUAGGUCCCAAGGGUAUGGCUGUUCGCCAUUUAAAGUGGUACGCGAGCUGGGUUUAGAACGUCGUGAGACAGUUCGGUCCCUA